AAUGAACGCUGGCGGCGCGCCUAAUACAUGCAAGUCGAGCGAGAAGACGUAGCAAUACGUUUGUAAAGCGGCGAACGGGUGAGGAAUACAUGGGUAACCUACCCUAGAGUGGGGAAUAACUAGCCGAAAGGUUAGCUAAUACCGCGUACGCUCCUUGGACUUCGGUUCAGGGAGGAAAGCGAUACCGAGGGUAUCGCGCUCUUGGAUGGGCUCAUGUCCUAUCAGCUUGUGGUGAGGUAACGGCUCACCAAGGCUUCGACGGGUAGCUGGUCUGAGAGGACGAUCAGCCACACUGGCACUGCGACACGGGCCAGACUCCUACGGGAGGCAGCAGUAAGGAAUAUUGCGCAAUGGGCGAAAGCCUGACGCAGCGACGCCGCGUGGGGGAGUG
rnacentral:rRNA from 1 species